AUCCAGCUGACGUAUCGCAAAAAGGACGAAACAUGCGUCCUGUAU
rnacentral:hammerhead_ribozyme from 1 species